GGUACGGCGGCGGCAGAGUCGGCGUUUUUCUCCGGGAAACUUUUCUCAUCACCUGGGUUGUUUGAUUUAAAGCCUCAAACGUCGGUAGUGUUCCUCCAUCAGUGGAGGACAACAGCGGCAACAUGAAAAACAGUGACAGCUCUGCUGGACAGACAGACUUGCCCGGGUGGACACUUGAGAGGGAAUCUGAUGCAGUCCAGAGCCCUACUGAACACAAGACAAGGCAAGUUGGCUUCUGCACGCCCCCUGCU